rnacentral:rRNA from 1 species
GCAAGUCGACGGGAUCAGGUUUGUAGCAAUACAAAUUUGGUUCAGUGGCAAACAGGUGCGUAACACGUGAGCAAUCUGCCGGGAAGUGGGGGAUAGCUCGCCGAAAGGCGAAUUAAUACCGCAUAUGGCCAGGAAGGACAUCCUUCCAACGCCAAAGUCGCAAGACGCUUCCUGAUGAGCUCGCGGCCUAUCAGCUUGUUGGUGAGGUAACGGCUCACCAAGGCUAUGACGGGUAGCUGGUCUGAGAGGACGACCAGUCACACUGGAACUGAGACACGGUCCAGACACCUACGGGUGGCAGCAGUCGAGAAUUUUUCACAAUGGGGGAAACCCUGAUGGAGCGACGCCGCGUGGAGGACGAAGGUCUUCGGAUUGUAAACUCCUGUCAUGCGGGAACAAGAAAGUGAUAGUACCGCAAGAGGAAGAGACGGCUAACUCUGUGCCAGCAGCCGCGGUAAUACAGAGGUCUCAAGCGUUGUUCGGAUUCAUUGGGCGCAAAGGGUGCGCAGGCGGCGUGGAAAGUUGAGUGUGAAAUCCUGGGGCUUAACCUCAGAACUGCACUCAAUACUCCCAUGCUAGAGGAAUGUAGAGGAGAGUGGAAUUCACGGUGUAGCAGUGAAAUGCGUAGAUAUCGUGAGGAAGACCAGUUGCGAAAGCGACUCUCUGGGCAUUUCCUGACGCUCAUGCACGAAUGCCAGGGGAGCAAACGGGAUUAGAUACCCCGGUAGUCCUGGCAGUAAACGGUGCACGUUUGGGUGUGGCGGGCUCAGACCCCGUCCGUGCCGAGCUACGCGUAAACGUGCGCCUGGGAGUACGUCGCAGAUAAAACUCAAGAAUGACGGGGC